ACCGGGAACAGCACCCGUCAAGUACUUUGUAAAUGAAAAUAUGAUAUGAGAACAGCUCCCUGAUGAAAACAGCCCUUUUGUCUAUAUUUGUGUUUGAUGGUUCCACUCGGAGGCAUCCCUUUGGGGGACACAAGUGGACACACAGUUCUGGUUCUGUCCUUUCCCCGGAAGAAUAAGGGAGUUCCUUUCCAACCUCCCAGGGGGAAGAGGAAGUGAGGAACUUGUUUACCUCACGUCAGCCGCUGCACACUACACCUGAGGCUUGGAUCCUGAAGCCUGCGUUGCUAUUGGGCGCAGGAGAGCCUCCGGUUGCCUGGAGACACAGCGGAGCAGCUCAGGACACUGUGAAACAUAAGCCUCCAGACCAGGCAUGGCCAACAGGCUAACAACUCUCACACACGCAGACACUUGGACACACAAGGAAAUGGGGCAAUGACACAAAGAGUAAUGGAGGCCGCAUGGUCAGAACACAACAUAAGCCCAUGAGUAGCCCAAAUCAGCUGUGGCAAAGAGGCGUGGAAGCCUUAUGGGCACGAGGCAGCUACAGGAUGAACCCGAGCAAUGAGCUGUAUCAGCCACACAUGCCACAAGGCCUCGCUCUGCACUCCUGCAUCCUUCCUGAAGCUUCCCCUGGAGAGAAUAUCUGAGAUGUGGAGUGGAGUGAGGAGGAAAGCAGGAAGUGCCUCUGCUCACACCCUCCGCAAAUAACAAUCUGCACACGCCAUGUCCGGAACAGCCUGCAACAGCAGAGAAAACAAACGCAGACCCAGCAACCCACCUAGAACCAGGGAAAAGCCGGGGAUACAACGCGCUCAACUCUACAACUCUAAUAUACACACACACAAACACAGGGGACGUUGUGAAGUCAUAGUGCGUGUGCGUUACAUUUUUCCCUAAACCUAAUUAAAAAUUGUCUGUUCCCUGACUCUUUUGCUAUGUAUAAUCCCUGAUUUAGGCCUAUGUAAAAAAAACUAAUAGAAUGGAAAAGUUUCUUCAAAAUGUACAAUUCAUUUAUU